AGAUGCUGAGUGAUUAAGACAAACAGCUUGCCAAACCACCUUGUCACAGGGACAUAAAUCUGAAAAAGCAGCAGACUCCUCAGAAAGGUCAGACAGAUCACAUUUAGUUUCAAAAGGAAGAAAACAUGAAAUUCGUGUGUGUGUGUGUGUGUGUGUGUGUGUGUGUGUAUGUGUGUGUGUGUCUGUGUGUGUGUGUAUAACCACCGAGAGGCAAUGGUAUGAUAUUGAU
rnacentral:lncRNA from 10 species